rnacentral:rRNA from 1 species
AUUGAACGCUGGCGGCAUGCCUUACACAUGCAAGUCGAACGGCAGCACGGGAGCAAUCCUCGUGGCGAGUGGCGAACGGGUGAGUAAUAUAUCGGAACGUGCCCAGUCGUGGGGGAUAACGCAGCGAAAGCUGUGCUAAUACCGCAUACGAUCUAAGGAUGAAAGCGGGGGAUCGCAAGACCUCGCGCGAUUGGAGCGGCCGAUAUCAGAUUAGCUAGUUGGUGGGGUAAAGGCCCACCAAGGCGACGAUCUGUAGCUGGUCUGAGAGGACGACCAGCCACACUGGAACUGAGACACGGUCCAGACUCCUACGGGAGGCAGCAGUGGGGAAUUUUGGACAAUGGGCGCAAGCCUGAUCCAGCAAUGCCGCGUGCAGGAUGAAGGCCUUCGGGUUGUAAACUGCUUUUGUACGGAACGAAACGGCCCUUUCUAAUACAGGGGGCUAAUGACGGUACCGUAAGAAUAAGCACCGGCUAACUACGUGCCAGCAGCCGCGGUAACAC